rnacentral:rRNA from 1 species
UGCAGUCGAGCGGUAGAGAGGUGCUUGCACCUCUUGAGAGCGGCGGACGGGUGAGUAAAGCCUAGGAAUCUGCCUGGUAGUGGGGGAUAACGCUCGGAAACGGACGCUAAUACCGCAUACGUCCUACGGGAGAAAGCAGGGGACCUUCGGGCCUUGCGCUAUCAGAUGAGCCUAGGUCGGAUUAGCUAGUUGGUGAGGUAAUGGCUCACCAAGGCGACGAUCCGUAACUGGUCUGAGAGGAUGAUCAGUCACACUGGAACUGAGACACGGUCCAGACUCCUACGGGAGGCAGCAGUGGGGAAUAUUGGACAAUGGGCGAAAGCCUGAUCCAGCCAUGCCGCGUGUGUGAAGAAGGUCUUCGGAUUGUAAAGCACUUUAAGUUGGGAGGAAGGGCAUUAACCUAAUACGUUAGUGUUUUGACGUUACCGACAGAAUAAGCACCGGCUAACUCUGUGCCAGCAGCCGCGGUAAUACAGAGGGUGCAAGCGUUAAUCGGAAUUACUGGGCGUAAAGCGCGCGUAGGUGGUUCGUUAAGUUGGAUGUGAAAUCCCCGGGCUCAACCUGGGAACUGCAUUCAAAACUGUCGAGCUAGAGUAUGGUAGAGGGUGGUGGAAUUUCCUGUGUAGCGGUGAAAUGCGUAGAUAUAGGAAGGAACACCAGUGGCGAAGGCGACCACCUGGACUGAUACUGACACUGAGGUGCGAAAGCGUGGGGAGCAAACA